AUGGUGACAAAGGACAUGGAAAAGAAGCUUGUGGGGUGCGGCCUGAUGGACAGGGAACGAGAGGGUGACGGUGGCCUAAAGAUGAAGGGACGUUUGUGGCCUGACCACAAGAGCAUGGCCACGGUGCAAAUUCCUCUAUAUCUUUCCAUGGGGCCAUGGCUGUUCCAGAGUAUGGCAACUGUGCAAAAUCAGUUGUCUCCCUGGUCAAAGCAGAUGCUCGGGGUCACGUCCAAUGUCGCUGCCGAGUUUGCCGGAGGAAGAAGCGCCGAGUUUGCCAGAGGAACGAAAACAUCUGUCGAGCCGUCCAAUGUCGCUCGCGGCGGGCUACAACAGAGCACAAUGACCAUCCUCGCAGAAGCAUAG
rnacentral:rRNA from 1 species